AAACACCAGUAGCCAAACGUUCAGUAGUUGGCUGAAGAAAUGGCCGUUAGGCAUUUUGGACAACCCUGAAUUGAUUAUGUAGAUAUUAGUAGCCAUAAGUUCAUACAAUAUGAACGGCCGAAAUCACAAGGUUAUCUCUUUUUGAGAGUGAGACGGUCUCUAAUCUAGUGCCCCAUAGGGUCUAGAGAUGAGGAUUUUUGUUUAUUUUAUGGUGUAUGUAGCCAGACUACUACUGAUAAACGAAUUCCAUAAAGGUAAUCAUCUUGUUCGCAGAAUACGAACAAGUAAUUCCUAGUAUGUUCAUGCAUUGAUGAAGCAAAGCUUCUAAUUUGUGAAUAUUAUUCAAAAAUGGAAUUUGACGAAAGCACA
rnacentral:rRNA from 1 species